rnacentral:misc_RNA from 1 species
UCUCCGUAGGUGAACCUGCGGAGGGAUCAUUACAGGGUUCUCGCCCUCGCGGGUAGAUCUCCCACCCACUGUUAUCGUUACUGUGUUGCUUUGGCGGGCCGCCGGGCCCCGCUCGGCCGCCGGCUCCGGCUGGCGCGCGCCCGCCAGAGGCCCAGCAAACUCUGAAUGUUAGUGUCGUCUGAGUACUAUAUAAUAGUUAAAACUUUCAACAACGGAUCUCUUGGUUCUG